AGAGGGAUAGCUGGGUCAAAUAGUGGUUCCAUUCCAAGAUUUUCAAGGAAUCUCCAUACUGCUUUCCAUAUUGGCUGUACCAAUUUGCAGUCCUAUCAGCAAU
rnacentral:pre_miRNA from 1 species